rnacentral:rRNA from 1 species
GACGAACGCUGGCGGCGUGCCUAAUACAUGCAAGUCGAGCGAAGUGUUUCUGGUGCUUGCACCGGAAAAACUUAGCGGCGCACGGGUGAGUAACACGUAAAGAACCUGCCUCAUAGACUGGGACAACUAUUGGAAACGAUAGCUAAUACCAGAUAACAGCAUUAACUGCAUGGCUGAUGUUUAAAAGUUGGUUUUGCUAACACUAUGAGAUGGCUUUGCGGUGCAUUAGCUAGUUGGUGGGGUAAAGGCCUACCAAGGCAACGAUGCAUAGCCGACCUGAGAGGGUGAUCGGCCACACUGGGACUGAGACACGGCCCAGACUCCUACGGGAGGCAGCAGUAGGGAAUCUUCCGCAAUGGGCGAAAGCCUGACGGAGCAACGCCGCGUGAGUGAAGAAGGAUUUCGGUUCGUAAAACUCUGUUGUUAGGGAAGAAUGAUUGUGUAGUAACUUUACACAGUAGAGACGGUACCUAACCAGAAAGCCACGGCUAACUACGUG